CCUACGGGUGGCAGCAGUGAGGAAUAUUGGUCAAUGGACGAGAGUCUGAACCAGUCAAGUAGCGUGAAGGAUGACUGCCCUAUGGGUUGUAAACUUCUUUUAUAAAGGAAUAAAACGAGGCACGUGUGCCUUUUUGCAUGUACUUUAUGAAUAAGGAUCGGCUAACUCCGUGCCAGCAGCCGCGGUAAUACGGAGGAUCCGCGCGUUAUCCGGAUUUAUUGGGUUUAAAGGGAGCGUAGAUGGGUUGUUAAGUCAGUUGUGAAAGUUUGCGGCUCAACCGUAAAAUUGCAAUUGAUACUGGCAGUCUUGAGUACAGUUGAGGUAGGCGGAAUUCGUGGUGUAGCGGGGAAAUGCUUAGAUAUCACGAAGAACUCCGAUUGCGAAGGCAGUUCACUGGACUGCAACUGACACUGAGGCUCGAAAGUGUGGGUAUCAAACAGGAUUAGAUACCCUAGUAGUC
rnacentral:rRNA from 1 species